GGGGCUGACUUGGAUUUCGACAGAUUUCUUGUCGCACAGAUAGCAUGCCAAGCGCUGCUUGUAAAACAGCAACAAAAAUAACUGUAAACAACGCAGAUUACGCUCCAGCUUACGCUAAAGCCGCGUGAGUUAAUCUCCUUUUGGAGCUGGAUUGAUUAGAAUUUCUAGCGUUUUAAUCACUCCAUAACCUUAAGCUAGACGCUUUUAAAAGGUGGUUCGCCUUUUAAACUAAGAAACAAGAACUCUUGAAACUAUCUCAAGGUUUUAGAAAGUUGGACCAGAGCUAGUUUUAAGGCUAAAAAACUAACCAAUUUUCUAAGCAUUGUAGAAGUUUGUGUUUAGGGCAAGAUUUUUGGACUGGGGUUCGAUUCCCCACAGCUCCACCA
rnacentral:tmRNA from 1 species